rnacentral:misc_RNA from 1 species
UCCGGUUUGUCACCGGCAGUCAUCUUAGAGUGCCCACCUUUACGUGCUGGCAACUAACAUCAAGGGUUGCGCUCGUUGCGGGACUUAACCCAACAUCUCACGACACGAGCUGACGACAACCAUGCACCACCUGUCUCCUCUGUCCCGAAGGCCCGCCCUAUCUCUAGGACGUUCAGAGGGAUGUCAAGACCUGGUAAGGUUCUUCGCGUUGCUUCGAAUUAAACCACAUGCUCCGCUGCUUGUGCGGGCCCCCGUCAAUUCCUUUGAGUUUUAGCCUUGCGGCCGUACUCCCCAGGCGGGGCACUUAAUGCGUUAGCUCCGGCACGGGAGGAGUCGACACCUCCCACACCUAGUGCCCAUCGUUUACGGCGUGGACUAC